rnacentral:rRNA from 1 species
UACGUAGGGUGCAAGCGUUGUCCGGAAUUAUUGGGCGUAAAGAGCUCGUAGGCGGUCUGUCGCGUCUGCUGUGAAAACUCAGGGCUUAACCCUGAGCUUGCAGUGGGUACGGGCAGACUAGAGUGCGGUAGGGGAGACUGGAAUUCCUGGUGUAGCGGUGAAAUGCGCAGAUAUCAGGAGGAACACCGGUGGCGAAGGCGGGUCUCUGGGCCGUUACUGACGCU